rnacentral:rRNA from 1 species
GNNACGNNNUCNUGCNGUCGACGAUUCCUACGGGAGGCAGCAGUGGGGAAUAUUGGACAAUGGGCGAAAGCCUGAUCCAGCCAUGCCGCGUGGGUGAAGAAGGCCUUAGGGUUGUAAACCCCUUUCAGCGGGGAAGAUAAUGACGGUACCCGCAGAAGAAGCCCCGGCUAACUCCGUGCCAGCAGCCGCGGUAAUACGGAGGGGGCUAGCGUUGUUCGGAAUUACUGGGCGUAAAGCGCGCGUAGGCGGAUCUGCAAGUCAGGGGUGAAAUCCCGAGGCUCAACCUCGGAACUGCCUUUGAUACUGCGGAUCUCGAGUCCGAGAGAGGUGAGUGGAAUUCCUAGUGUAGAGGUGAAAUUCGUAGAUAUUAGGAAGAACACCAGUGGCGAAGGCGGCUCACUGGCUCGGUACUGACGCUGAGGCGCGAAAGCGUGGGGAGCAAACAGGAUUAGAUACCCUGGUAGUCCACGCCGUAAACGAUGUCAACUAGACGUUGGGGGGUUUAACCCUUUAGUGUCGCAGCUAACGCAAUAAGUUGACCGCCUGGGGAGUACGGCCGCAAGGUUAAAACUCAAAGGAAUUGACGG